GGUGUAUCCGGGCUUACAUGGUGGCUGGCAGCUGAAACAUGAGUCCAUCUCAUCAGGGCACAGUUGGGGCCACAGAGCUCGAAAAGACCCAGUGCCUCUCAGCUGGAUUAGGAAGAAAACCUCACAGCUGAAACUGAGCAAUAGUUUGCAAACACACCCUUUACCCACCAUUAACUCCUAUGUAAACCUCAUGAACCCGACUCCCCAGUGAGGGCCACGCGGAAACAACCGCAAAAUUAACCGCUGGAAGACCCCACCGCCAGCCGGAGGGCAUCUUCCGGGCCAGGGCCGCUCAGGAAGGAGGCCAGGCCGUUACCACGGAG
rnacentral:lncRNA from 1 species